GGUUUCACUGUGUAGCUCUGGCUGUCUUUGAACUCACUCUGUAGACCAGGCUGGCCUCGAACUCACAGAGAUCCACCCGCCUCUGCCUCCCGAGUGCUGGGACUAAAGGCAUGCACCACCACUGCCCG
ensembl:miRNA